GAUCAUGGCUCAGGAUGAACGCUAGCUACAGGCUUAACACAUGCAAGUCGAGGGGAAACGAUAUUGGAAGCUUGCUUCCGAUAGGCGUCGACCGGCGCACGGGUGAGUAACGCGUAUGCAACCUGCCCGAUACCGGGGUAUAGCCCAUGGAAACGUGGAUUAACACCCCAUAGUACUUUUAUCCUGCAUGGGAUGUGAGUUAAAUGUUCAAGGUAUCGGAUGGGCAUGCGUCCUAUUAGUUAG
rnacentral:rRNA from 1 species